GGCUCAAUGGUCUAGUGGUAUGAUUGUCGCUUUGGGUAUAAGCUUCGGCAUAACUUAAAUGUGACAGGUCUCGGGUUCGAUCCCCGAUUGAGCCC